GAUAAAUAGAAAUCUUAUGAAUUAGAUGUAGAACAAGAUAUUUGAAAAUUAACUGUAUAACUCACAGCUACUACAAUCCUGGUCCAAUUGUACUGGCCUCAGUUUUGGGGAGUAGGAAUAACAUCCUAACCGGGAAUAACCUCUUGUAAUUGAGUUGAUGAAAUUUUCUUCUCUCUUUUUCAGGUGGCUCUCAAGUCCCACACAUAAAAGUAAUUUGUAAGCUUCUUAAUACCACCAUGCUGGGGGUCUUGUCUACAGAAAUAAAGGAAUAAAAUAAGGCCCUAUCUGAGAAAAAUCCUGAGCUUCCCUGGAUGAAACUCAUUCUGAAACUCCCUUGGGACAAAAAUAAGAGUUGAAGAAUUGUAAAUGGAAAUAGGAAUUUAAACUUCAUCUCCUUCUAACUUCACUUGACUGAGAAAGGAAUUAAAUUGGUUCAAAGUAAUGCUGAUCAUCUGAUAUCUUUGACCUUUCCACAUAUCCUGCAUGGAAGGAGGAGGAAGAAAUAUUGGAACAGGUAUUGUGAAAAUGAACAUUGACAAUAGAAGACUUGCAAAAUAAUUCUGCAGUAUUGACUCAGAGUAGCGCAAAUCCAAAGGUGCAGGUAUUUUAAAGGCUCAUCCUUUGGACUCAUCCCUUCCCAUGGCUUCUGCAACAAGGCUGCACCACCUGUCC
rnacentral:lncRNA from 13 species